rnacentral:rRNA from 1 species
CGACAUUGCUAGUUGGAGGUACGGCUCACAAGGCUACGAUGUCUAGGGUUCUGAGAGGAUUCACCCCCACACUGGUACUGAGACACGGACCAGACUCCUACGGGAGGCAGCAGUAAGGAAUAUUGGGCAAUGGACGCAAGUCUGACCCAGCCAUGCCGCGUGCAGGAUGACAGCCCUACGGGUUGUAAACUGCUUUGUACGGGAAACUCCCGGUCGUGAACCGGGACUGAUGGUACCGUAAGAAUAAGCAUCGGCUAACUCCGUGCCAGCAGCCGCGGUAAUACGGAGGAUGCAAGCGUUAUCCGGAUUUUGGGUUUAAAGGGUGCGCAGGCGGAAUGCAAGUCAGUGGUGAAAUCCUACGGCUCAACUGUAGAACUGCCAUGAUACUGUCGUUCUUGAGUACACUUGAAGUGGGCGGAAUGUGUCAUGUACGGUGAAAUGCUUAGAUAUGACACAGAACACCGAUCGCAAGGCAGCUCACUAACGUGAAACUGACGCUCAGGCACGAAAGGUGGGGAUCAAACAGGAUUAGAUACCCUGGUAGUCCACGCUUAAACGAUGAUUACUCGAUGUUGGCGAUACACUGUCAGCGUCUAAGCGAAAGCAUUAAGUAAUCCACCUGGGGAGUCGGCCGCAAGGUUGAAACUCAAAGGAAUUGACGGGGGCCCGCACAAGCGGAGGAGCAUGUGGUUUAAUUCGAUGAUACGCGAGGAACCUUACCUGGGCUAGAACGUAGGACGACAGUCCCGGAAACGGGAUCUCCCUUCGGGGCGACCUACGAGGUGCUGCAUGGUUGUCGUCAGCUCGUGCCGUGAGGUGUCGGGUUAAGUCCCAUAACGAGCGCAACCCCUAUCAUUAGUUGCCAUCAGGUCAUCUGGGGACUCUAAUGAAACUGCCUACGCAAGUAGUGAGGAAGGUGGGGAUGACGUCAAAUCAGCACGGCCCUUACGUCCAGGGCUACACACGUGCUACAAUGGCCGUACAAAGGGUUGCUACCUGGUGACAGGAUGCUAAUCUCAAAAACCGGUCUCAGUUCGGAUCGAAGUCUGCAACUCG